CCUACGGGAGGCAGCAGUGGGGAAUUUUGGACAAUGGGCGCAAGCCUGAUCCAGCCAUGCCGCGUGCGGGAAGAAGGCCUUCGGGUUGUAAACCGCUUUUGUCAGGGAAGAAAAGGUUCUGGCUAAUACCUGGGACUCAUGACGGUACCUGAAGAAUAAGCACCGGCUAACUACGUGCCAGCAGCCGCGGUAAUACGUAGGGUGCAAGCGUUAAUCGGAAUUACUGGGCGUAAAGCGUGCGCAGGCGGUUAUGCAAGACAGAGGUGAAAUCCCCGGGCUCAACCUGGGAACUGCCUUUGUGACUGCAUAGCUAGAGUACGGUAGAGGGGGAUGGAAUUCCGCGUGUAGCAGUGAAAUGCGUAGAUAUGCGGAGGAACACCGAUGGCGAAGGCAAUCCCCUGGACCUGUACUGACGCUCAUGCACGAAAGCGUGGGGAGCAAACAGGAUUAGAUACCCUGGUAGUCCACGCCCUAAACGAUGUCAACUGGUUGUUGGGAGGGUUUCUUCUCAGUAACGUAGCUAACGCGUGAAGUUGACCGCCUGGGGAGUACGGCCGCAAGGUUGAAACUCAAAGAUAGUGCGNGNGAGNGCGACGACGACGACGACGGAGGAGGAGG
rnacentral:rRNA from 1 species